AUUGAACGCUGGCGGCAUGCCUUACACAUGCAAGUCGAACGGUAACAGGUUAAGCUGACGAGUGGCGACCGGGUGAGUAAUGUAUCGGAACGUGCCCAGUCGUGGGGGAUAACUGCUCGAAAGAGCAGCUAAUACCGCAUACGACCUGAGGGUGAAAGCGGGGGAUCGCAAUACCUCGCGCGAUUGGAGCGGCCGAUAUCAGACUAGGUAGUUGGUGAGGUAAAGGCUCACCAAGCCGACGAUCUGUAGCUGGUCUGAGAGGACGACCAGCCACACUGGGACUGAGACACGGCCCAGACUCCUACGGGAGGCAGCAGUGGGGAAUUUUGGACAAUGGGCGCAAGCCUGAUCCAGCCAUGCCGCGUGCGGGAAGAAGGCCUUCGGGUUGUAAACCGCUUUUGUCAGGGAAGAAAAGGUUCUGGCUAAUACCUGGGACUCAUGACGGUACCUGAAGAAUAAGCACCGGCUAACUACGUG
rnacentral:rRNA from 1 species